CUGGUUUUUGGGAUAAAGAUAUUAAUGAUAUAAACUCUCUGACUAACAGGAACCACUAGAAGCAGGGAAGUCCAGAUGCUUCUGACAGGCUCCGAGCUCCGAGCUCCUGAUCCCAUGUGUGGAAGGCUCAGAUCAAUUCUAUCUCUUCAAGACAGGAGGGUAGCAUUAUUGUCCUCUGCAAGACUCAACAGAGCAGCCGACUGACACACGUGCACAGACAUACGGCCAAAUAUCGAAUGGAGCUCAGUGAGUCUCACUGAAGGGCUGAGGGAAGUGCAGACAGAGACAGAGGAGCACAAUGAUCUUCAGGGUCCACCAUAUCAAGAAUGAGGUUUUCCUGCAAAAAAGGCUGUUGAGAAGAAUCCAAUGGUGUUGUGUCUUCCUUACUGGACGACGUGGGCGCUACAACUUGUAUGGGGACCCAAGAAAAUUCUCUUUUCUCAAGAGGAUUCGGAACUUUUCAGCCUCAGAAUCAAGACAAUCCAAUAUGGGUGCCUGAAUAUUUGACUUGCAAACUGCCUCCUGCUAUUCGUGAAGAUGAGACUACGAACCCUACCAUUACUGGUGGAAAUGGUAAUCCAGGUUGAUUCACUCACUCUGUGUGCCAUUGCCAGAUACUGGCCAGUACUUAUCCCAAUUCACAGCAAUUCUACUGUUUUCCAACUUUUUCUGUACAUCCUGUUUGCAUGAUGUUCCUUGUAUAGCGCCAAAUGUAGAAUUGCCCCAACGGUAUACUGCCACUAAUAAUUCUUUGUUACAUACAUUAUGUUUCACUCUUAAAAAUUCCUCCCAGCAUUUUAUAUGGUUGUGAAGGACCACAUUGGCCAAUUGGUUAGAUCCUAUGAACAAUAGUGCUGUGGGCACUGGAACCAUCCUGGCUGCUUUGAGUCAAAUUGCCCAAGUAGCUUCUUCAGGCAGUGAAAACACAUCAAUCAAUAAUUCUGCUAAGUUGAACAUUACAACUUUGAUUAGGAUACAUAAUUGUAGUUUUUCAUGUAUUACUCUUUACAGGUUAACUUUUCUCAGUAUUCUAACAGAACAAAGAAAUCCCAAAUUAUCUAAAAGGAAACUGGUCCAUGAAAGCAGAGCAAUUAUCAAGACAAUUGCUGAUACAGAUUCUUGUCCUUAACAAUACUAGAAUGGAACCCAUCAUGUUUAGAGAUUUCACAUCAUGGAUUACCAAUGCUCUCUUUUUUUUAAAGAAUGGGCUAGCAUUUUUGCCUGGGGAGCCAUUGUCCUCUUGGGAUGUGGAGUAUGUCUAUGGCUCUUUUGCGGUUUACAACGAGAACAUGACAGACACAAAGCGAUUGUUUACCAGGCUAUGGUUGCCAUUGAAAUUGGUGCAUCUCCCAAUAUAUGGCAGGCCUCUUUAAAAAAUUAAGAGUUUGCCCUAGACUAUAUUUUGUCACUGUCAUGUGAAGUCAUUAUAUCCAGAGACGGACACCAUUCCUCAGGUUCAGACCAACCUAAGACAGGGGCUUGGUGUCGAUAGGGUUACACAAGGACAAGUAAGGCCGAGUCCUGGAGAAGAACGACCUAAGACAGAAACAAUGACAUAUACUGAUGUGACACCAAGAUCUAGACAGUCAUUUUAGAAAACAAAAAAGAGGGAGAUGUAGGGAGUGUCUAAAGAUGGCUCCGACAUCUUGUGGUUGUUAGUGAUAAACACCUACAAUGUGCAUGUAUUGACAUUUCUCCGGCAGUUAUCAGACUGGAGUGAUAUUCACGCUAAUAAGGUAUUUCAUACUCCACCAAUCCCCAGAGGACAAAUUUACAACCACAGCCUUUCUUGUAUUUAGGGGGAGUGCCUUUUUUCCCUCGGGGCCCCCCUCAUCAAG